AAGAAGAGCUGUCUGUGUGUCAGCUGCAUCGAUCUCGGGUGUAGGCAACAUCUCGCUGGACCUGGAAGCCAUCCAUGCAUUAGAGCGGGCAGACCCUGGGCUGAGAGUUGGGUGACUAUGACUUGCUGUGUGACCUAGGGCAGAUGCACCAGUGGAUGAAUGGGGCAGAUGGACCAGUGGAUGCAGAGAUGAUGAAUCUGCAGCAGAAAGGGGAAGUUUUUUGCUGUCAACCCCAAGACAGAACACCACCGCAAUCUCCAUGUACAAGAACAGUUUGAGGACCCUUCUGGGGCACAGCUUGCUGAUGGAACCCAAAAUGCCCAGUUUGGACCAGCCUGCCAGGAGUCCAUGGAGUCAUCUCUCAUUUCAUCCAGCUGGAUUUUGAAGUCUACCCCAGACUCUGGUUGGCUUCACAUGGCUGACCAACCAUUUGAACUUGCCUGUUUGGCUUCUCUCAUUUCUUCUUAUCCCCUCAUGGGCUAAGGAGGAUGUUCUCCACUGUCCAUCAUCAUCAUUGAUGGGGCGGGAUGGCAUAAGUCACCAACCUUCGUCUGAGAACAUUCACACUAACUUUAUGGCCAGCAUACCAAAGCAAGGAUCCACAUGGGAAAGAAUUCAUCUCAUAAAAGUUAUCUUAAUAUUGAAAGUAUUCAGACAAGAGAACUCAGUUUUGACUAAAACAAGACCAACACAAAAAUUCACUUGUGAAUGUUCUUGCAAGGCCAUCGAGGAAUGGAGAAUCACCUCAACCAACAGAAGGAGUAGAGAGACACUGUCCCACCUCACAACUAAGAGCACAAGCUUCCAACCCAGGCCUUUAUCCACAGCCGAUGACCCUCAGAGCCUUCAUGCAUGCUCACAAAUAUUAUAAAUUGAGAAUUAAGGUCUAGAAGUACCACACAGGCUGCUUUCCAUGCUUCAUUCUUAGGAUGCUCAGGUCACAGCAUCC